CUUGGUGUGUGUUUGCAUGUUGGAUCCCUGUUUAGGCAGCGAAGGCAUGUCAUACACACCUUUUCAGUUGUUGGCUCAAGAGUCUCUUUGCCUUGACCUGUUUGGUUUUCUUGUUUUGCAUACCUCUAAGAAGGUAGUUGGUAGGCCCGAAUUCUCCACGUUCUUACAUGCCCUGAAACCCUUUGUGGUUGAAGUGCGGGUUAGACAAUGAAGCUUCCAUUGUGUUCCACAUCUCACCUGCCUGCUUGUGUAAUGUGAGUUGUUGGCACAUUAUGGAAUGCUUGAUCACUUGGAUGCGGAAAGCUGAGUGGGUAUGAGGCAUGUGUGCCUCUAUUUGCCCUAAAAUAGAGCGUUCGUCGCUUAUUGCGGAUGACUGUUGUUUUUGUAUUGGUUUUAGCCAUUUUUAGCUUUAAUCAUGCACUAGCAACGUCAAUAAGGAA
rnacentral:misc_RNA from 1 species